ACUCCUACGGGAGGCAGCAGCAGGGAAUAUUGCACAAUGGGCGAAAGCCUGAUGCAGCGACACCACGUGCGGGAUGACGGCCUUAGGGUUGUAAACCGCUUUCAGGAGGGAAGAAAUUGACGGUACCUCCAGAAGAAGCUCCGGCCAACUACGUGCCAGCAGCCGCGGUAAU
rnacentral:rRNA from 1 species